rnacentral:rRNA from 1 species
CCGACGGUGAGGGGCGAAAGCUGGGGAGCAAACCGGAUUAGAUACCCGGGUAGUCCCAGCCGUAAACGAUGUGCGUUAGGUGUAUCGGUGACCACGAGUCACCGAGGUGCCGAAGAGAAAUCGUGAAACGUACCGCCUGGGAAGUACGGUCGCAAGGCUGAAACUUAAAGGAAUUGGCGGGGGAGCACCACAACAGGUGGAGCCUGCGGUUUAAUCGGACUCAACGCCGGGAAACUCACCAGAUAAGACAGCUGAAUGAUAGUCGGGCUGAAGACUCUACUUGACUAGCUGAGAGGAGGUGCAUGGCCGUCGUCAGUUCGUACUGUGAAGCAUCCUGUUAAGUCAGGCAACGAGCGAGACCCACGCCAACAGUUGCUA